GGACGGCCAGCCAGGUGUCUGCUGCUGGCUUGCAGAGGCAAAGCACACAGAUCGGCAAUCUGGGUUUGAAAACUUCACCAGCAACUUAGUAGACUACUUUUCUUGUCGUUGAAUGUGGUCCUCAAAUGGCACAUCACAGCGCAGUUCGAGAUGGACUGAGCCUUCUGCUAGCAUUUGGGCUCGUUUUCCAGAUUUCCAACUUCCCCGAUCACUGAGUACUUGAAGUCUUGUGCCAGAAAGUGGGACCUUAGUCCCCAAACACAGUUACGCAGACAGCUUCAGGAUCUGCACGCAUUAUUCUCCCAUCAGAGAAUCACGGUGCACUUGGCCAAGUACAGAUGAGAAGAAAUGAUGAAAGGAGCAGAUUUAAUCUAGAGAGCUGAGUAAGAGUUGAAAGAGAAAGAAAAUGGAGAACCCUGACGGUGGCGAACAGAGCGCUCAGAAGGGCAGCGUGCCGCUGUGUUCUUUCCUGCA